rnacentral:rRNA from 1 species
CAAUAGCGUAUAUUAAAGCUGUUGCGGUUAAAAAGCUCGUAGUUGGAUUUCUGUCAAGGACAACUGGUCCGCCCUCCGGGUGAGCACAUAGUUUGGUCUUGACAUCUUGCUGGAAGCUGUUGCUGCACUUGGCUGUGUGGCGCAGUGUUCAGCACUUUCACUUUGAGGAAAUUGGAGUGUUUCAAGCAGGCACAUGCCUUUGGACACAGUAGCAUGGAAUAAUUAGAUUGGGCUUUUGCUCCAAUCUGUCGGUUUCUGGAGCUGAGGUGAGUAUUAAUGGGGAUUGUUGGGGGCAUCCGAAUUUAGCCGUCAGAGGUGAAAUUCUUGGAUCUGCUAAAGACGGACAACUGCGAAAGCGUUUGCCCAGGAUGUUUUCAUUGA